rnacentral:rRNA from 1 species
CGUGGCUAACCUGCCCUCGGGAUAGGAAUACCCCCGGGAAACUGGGGCUAAUUCCCAAUAGGCGAAGAACUCUGGAAUGAGUCUUCACUUAAAAGGCGCCAGAGUUAUGCUCUUUGGCGUCGCCCAAGGAUGGGGCCGCGACCGAUCAGGUUGUUGGUGAGGUAAUGGCUCACCAAGCCUUUUACCGGUGCGGGCCGUGGGAGCGGGAGCCCGGAGAUGGGCACUGAGACAAGGGCCCAGGCCCUACGGGGCGCAGCAGUCGCGAAAACUUUGCAAUAAGCGAAAGCUUGACAGGGCUAUCCCGAGUGCCAUCCGCUGAGGAAGGCUUUUACCCAGUCUAGAACGCUGGGGGAAUAAGGAGAGGGCAAGUCUGGUGUCAGCCGCCGCGGUAAUACCAGCUCUCCGAGUGGUGUGGACGUUUAUUGGGCCUAAAGCAUCCGUAGCUGGCUAGGUUAGUCCCCUGUUAAAUCCACCGAAUUAAUCGUUGGAUUGCGGGGGAUACUGCUUGGCUAGGGGACGAGAGAGGCAGACGGUAUUUCCGGGGUAGGGGUGAAAUCCUAUAAUCCCGGGAAGACCACCAGUGGCGAAGGCUGUCUGCUAGAACGCGCCCGACGGUGAGGGAUGAAAGCUGGGGGAGCGAACCGGAUUAGAUACCCGGGUAGUCCCAGCUGU